CGAUCGGUGGAUGCCUUGGCACCAAGAGCCGAUGAAGGACGUUGUGACCUGCGAUAAGCCCUGGGGAGUUGGUGAGCGAGCUGUGAUCCGGGGGUGUCCGAAUGGGGAAACCUGGAAUGUCCGGAGUAGUGUCCGGUGGCCCUGCCCUGAAUGUAUAGGGGUGUGGGUGGUAACGCGGGGAAGUGAAACAUCUUAGUACCCGUAGGAAGAGAAAACAAGUGUGAUUCCGUGAGUAGUGGCGAGCGAAAGCGGAGGAGGCUAAACCGUGUGUGUGUUCAAGCCGGCAGGUGUUGCAUGUGCGGGGUUGUGGGGGCCUUGUGGUUCUGCUGCCGCAGGAUUGGCCAGUGAGAAAUGUUGCGUGAAGGUGAAGCGUCUGGGAAGGCGUACCGGAGUGGGUGAGAGUCCUGUAACUGUAAGCGUGGCACUGGUGUGGGGUUGCCCCGAGUAGCGUGGGACUCGUGGAAUUUCGCGUGAAUCUGGCGGGACCACCCGUCAAGCCUAAAUACUCCUUGGUGACCGAUAGUGGAUGAGUACCGUGAGGGAAGGGUGAAAAGUACCCCGGGAGGGGAGUGAAAGAGUUCCUGAAACCGGUCGCAUGCAAGCCGUCAGAGCCUGUGUGGUGAUGGCGUGCCUUUUGAAGAAUGAGCCUGCGAGUUAGUGAUGCGUGGCGAGGUUAACCCGUGGUGGGGGAGUCGUAGCGAAAGCGAGUCCGAUAAGGGCGUGAGUCGCGUGUUCUAGACCCGAAGCGGUGUGAUCUAUCCAUGGCCAGGAUGAAGCGUCGGUAAGACGUCGUGGAGGUCCGAACCCACUUCAGUUAAAAAUGGAGGGGAUGAGUUGUGGAUAGGGGUGAAAGGCCAAUCAAACACCGUGAUAGCUGGUUCUCCCCGAAAUGCAUUUAGGUGCAGCGUUGCGUGGUUCUUGUUGGAGGUAGAGCACUGGAUGGUCUAGGGGGCUUAUCGGC
rnacentral:rRNA from 1 species